rnacentral:rRNA from 1 species
ACGUAGGGUGCGAGCGUUAAUCGGAAUUACUGGGCGUAAAGCGUGCGUAGGCGGUUCGCUAAGACAGGUGUGAAAUCCCCGGGCUCAACCUGGGAACUGCGUUUGUGACUGCAUCACUCGAGUACGGCAGAAAAAAAUAAAGUUCCGCAUAUAACAAUGAAAUACAUAAAUAUACAAAAAAACACCGAUGGCGAAGGCAGCCUCCUGGGCCAGUACUGACGCUCAUGCACGAAAGCGUGGGGAGCAAACAG